UUAUCGCCGUCUUCAUCACAGUUUCUAGUUUCUGUUGCUCAUUCUCCAUGGAGUAUCAAACCAAUUUAUGGAUACACAUAGCUGGACUCACAAGAACAUUUGGGCAUUAUGUGUGAGAUCAUACUGUUUCUGAUAUUGAUGCAUGAAGGUGCAUAACUUGUUGAGCAACACAAGGCAAAUAUGAUAUUACUCUUGGUGUUUCCCUUGGUUCAGCAACCCAGAUCUCCAUGUU